AUGGCGUUCGAGGAGGCGUUGAGCAGGCUCAAGGCGUUUGACGAACGCUUACGUCGGCGCACACAGGACAACGGCGGACGAGGCGGCGAUCAACUGAUGUUCACGGCGGCCCAGUGGGAGGCACGGCAGCGUCAGCACGGCGGCAACCUCGACCACGACGACGGUGCGAGCAGUGUGGCUUCGGGCACGAGACGGCGGCGCGGGAAGUGCUACAACUGUGGCGUUCGUGGCCACUUCUCCCGCGACUGCCGGCAGCCGAAGAAGGAGAAGGCGCUCCUCGGCGACAUCGACGACGAGCCGACCUUACUGUAG
rnacentral:rRNA from 1 species